rnacentral:sRNA from 1 species
UGUUUGCAGUUAGCGGGAAGGGUAAGAACCUUCGACUAAGGUUCGACUCGAGCGCCAGCGAGAGAACGUUGCCGCAGGCAACGGCCCGAAGGGCGAGGAGCGAUAGCGACGAGUUAUCCUUCCCCCACCACCA